rnacentral:rRNA from 1 species
AACGAACGCUGGCGGCAGGCCUAACACAUGCAAGUCGAGCGCACCCUUCGGGGUGAGCGGCGGACGGGUGAGUAACGCGUGGGAACGUGCCCUUCUCUGCGGAAUAGCCUCGGGAAACUGAGAGUAAUACCGCAUACGCCCUUUGGGGGAAAGAUUUAUCGGAGAAGGAUCGGCCCGCGUUGGAUUAGGUAGUUGGAGGGGUAAUGGCCCACCAAGCCGACGAUCCAUAGCUGGUUUGAGAGGAUGAUCAGCCACACUGGGACUGAGACACGGCCCAGACUCCUACGGGAGGCAGCAGUGGGGAAUCUUAGACAAUGGGGGCAACCCUGAUCUAGCCAUGCCGCGUGAGUGAUGAAGGCCUUAGGGUUGUAAAGCUCUUUCAGCUGGGAAGAUAAUGACGGUACCAGCAGAAGAAGCCCCGGCUAACUCCGUG